rnacentral:rRNA from 1 species
CCCUUAGAUGUCCUGGGCCGCACGCGCGCUACACUGACAUGUUCAACAAGUUUCUCCUAGUUCGACAGGACUGGGAAAUCUUUGAACGCAUGUCGUGAUAGGGAUAGAUCAUUGCAAUUAUUGAUCUUGAACGAGGAAUUCCUAGUAAACGCGAGUCAUCAGCUCGCAUUGAUUACGUCCCUGCCCUUUGUACACACCGCCCGUCGCUCCUACCGAUUGAGUGAGCCGAUGAAACUGCCGGAUGUGGACUAUUCAUAGUCUGCAGAAGAUAUUUGAAUCGUAGCGCUUAGAGGAAGGAGAAGUCGUAACA